GAUGAAGAACGUAGCGAAAUGCGAUAAGUAAUGUGAAUUGCAGAAUUCAGUGAAUCAUCGAAUCUUUGAACGCAUCUUGCGCUCCUUGGUAUUCCGAGGGGCAUGCCUGUUCGAGCGUCAUUUUGACCACUCCCGCUUGCGGGGUCUUGGGCCUUCGCCUCUGGGCGGGCCUUAAAAUCAGUGGCGGUGCCGUCCGGCUCUAAGCGUAGUAAAUCUCCUCGCUAUAGGGUUCCGGAGGGAUGCUGGCCAACAACCCCCAACUUUUAAGGUUGACCUCGGAUCAGGUAGGGAUACCCGCUGAACUUAAGCAUAUCAAUAAGCGGAGGA
rnacentral:misc_RNA from 1 species